CGAAUCUUCUUCCGACAUUAGGAAUUUACGACAAUUCCCUGGCCGUUUUCCGCCACCAUGUUGACAGAGAGACAGUCUCUUUUAUUUUCAAAGAAAAAAAACAACACUUUAUUCGGUUGUUUUUGUAUCCAAGAAGUGUACCGAUCUAUGCUGUUUGGUACCUUGCAACAACCGUUCAGGCGAUUUUAUUUCUAGGUACAACCUGCACGACAAGAUCAAGAUGUACCCCAUGAUUUUCAGGUUUUUAAUAACCGCCAAAGGAACAGACUGGAGUUUCCAUCAGUAAGCAGUCAAAAUGUACAACCUGAGUCAACACUUUGCAGUAUAAUCCCUUUGAUCCAGAUGUGCUAAAAAACAACUGUGAUGCUGAAACCAUCUGGCUGGGCUAAGAAUCACAUCUGUGUUGAAUUUGGCCACAUG